GAAUAAUACGACCACCUCAUGCUCCCCUUCCCAGUUUGACACUUCCAUGCUUAGGUUCUCAUCAAAUGUCAGUUUUCGUAGAGAAUUCUUUCAAAAAGAGCGAAAUAGAGGGAAAGAGAGAGAGAGAGAAAAAGAGACUAAAUGCAGCAGUGUUGCCACUGUCUUAUCAAUGAAACUGACCAGCGAUUAAAGUCAUUCAAGAUGCGAGCCAACAAACCUAACGUGGAUAUGAAGGUAUCAGUAAAACGAAAUGUUUAAAAACAAUAUGUACUUUUUGUGGCCUAAAUUCUAAAUAGUCCACAACACAGAAAAAUAAGGCCACAACCGUUUGUACUUGAAUGUUGGACACUUUAUUGGGACCGCAAAAACACAUUUCAUUUUUAGGCCAAUUUGCCAAUCUAAUUAAAACAAAAAUAUAGAAAAGUUUCAAAAUUUUCAUCAUGAGAUAUCUUGGAUAAAGCCAAAAAAGGAUCUUACAACAAACAAAUUGAUUUGAGGGAAAAAGUGAAAGUGAAUCACAGAACACAACAGAAUAUCUUCCCAGAUAGCAGGGCCAGCCCUCUAAUCUUGCAAAUCCCACAACGAUCGGAGAAGUUGCAGAAAUCUCUGGGAAUUGUAAAGCUUGCCUGACUAGGAACUAGUUUACAUACUCCAGGAGAACUUGUAUAUCGUGGGUGAAAUAUGGUCACAAAUUGGGGACUUUCAAUGAUUCAAGCAUUUUGCAUUCUGCUAUGCUCUGCUCUCUCAUUAGCAAUAACAGGAAAACAAACAAUGAAACAACUUGCAUUAAAACCUGGUGACUUAACAAAGGGCCAGCCCGCCACCCAAAACACUGAUUGAAUUCUUGUCAGCGAACACGAUUUUUAAUUAGAUUUAAGAUACCUACCUAUCUUAACAUGAAGUGUCUUUUAGGGUUUAGUGGAUAUAGUUUAUAAUAAAAGCAACAGCAAAACAAAAAUGCAAAAAUUUUAACAUCUAUGUGUAUUCUAAACCCCAACCACAAAAUGACGACGAUAGCAGCAGCAGCGGCGGCAACAACAACAACAUUAGGUAUUGAGAAAGCAACAAAUUGACUAAAAUAGUCAAAGCACCAAUAAAUACGAACCAAGCCACUACAAAUGACUGAAUGACUGACAGAAAAACUCGAUAUUUGGUCGGCACAAAAACAUACAUACGCACACCUCAAGGACGUUCAUACUACUACUAUGUGAGACGA
rnacentral:sRNA from 1 species